GAUGAACGCUGGCGGCGUGCCUAAUACAUGCAAGUCGAGCGAACGGACGAGAAGCUUGCUUCUCUGAUGUUAGCGGCGGACGGGUGAGUAACACGUGGAUAACCUACCUAUAAGACUGGGAUAACUUCGGGAAACCGGAGCUAAUACCGGAUAAUAUUUUGAACCGCAUGGUUCAAAAGUGAAAGGCGGUCUUGCUGUCACUUAUAGAUGGAUCCGCGCUGCAUUAGCUAGUUGGUAAGGUAACGGCUUACCAAGGCAACGAUGCAUAGCCGACCUGAGAGGGUGAUCGGCCACACUGGAACUGAGACACGGUCCAGACUCCUACGGGAGGCAGCAGUAGGUAAUCUUCCGCAAUGGGCGAAAGCCUGACGGAGCAACGCCGCGUGAGUGAUGAAGGUCUUCGGAUCGUAAAACUCUGUUAUUAGGGAAGAACAUAUGUGUAAGUAACUGUGCACAUCUUGACGGUACCUAAUCAGAAAGCCACGGCUAACUACGUG
rnacentral:rRNA from 1 species